rnacentral:rRNA from 1 species
UACGUAGGGUGCGAGCGUUGUCCGGAAUUAUUGGGCGUAAAGAGCUCGUAGGCGGUCUGUCGCGUCGGUCGUGAAAACUUGGGGCUUAACCCUGAGCUUGCGGUCGAUACGGGCAUGACUGGAGUUCGGUAGGGGAGACUGGAAUUCCUGGUGUAGCGGUGAAAUGCGCAGAUAUCUGGAGGAACACCAGUGGCGAAGGCGGCCGACUGGGCCGAUCCUGACGCUGAGACCCGAAAGCCAGGGUAGCGAACCGG